GCUUGGAAAAUCUGGUUAGGACCUUAGCCUUCCAAGCUAAUGACUCGGGUUCAAAUCCCGAUCGGCGCA
rnacentral:tRNA from 3 species